CCUACGGGCGGCAGCAGUGGGGAAUAUUGCACAAUGGGGGAAACCCUGAUGCAGCGACGCCGCGUGAGUGAAGAAGUAAUUCGUUAUGUAAAGCUCUAUCAGCAGGGAAGAAAAUGACGGUACCUGAGUAAGAAGCCCCGGCUAACUACGUGCCAGCAGCCGCGGUAAUACGUAGGGGGCAAGCGUUAUCCGGAUUUACUGGGUGUAAAGGGAGCGUAGACGGCAGUGCAAGUCUGGAGUGAAAGGCGGGGGGUCAACCCCAGGAGUGCUCUGGAAACUGUACUGCUGGAGGGGGGGAGAGGUAAGGGGAAUUCGUGGGGUAGCGGUGAAAUGCGUAGAGAUUAGGAAGAAC
rnacentral:rRNA from 1 species